UGGAAAACUGGGGAAACUUGAGUACAGAAAAGGAAAGGGGAAUUCCACGUGUAGCGGUGAAAUGCGUAAAGAUGUGGAGGAACACCAGUGGCGAAGGCAACUCUCUGGUCUGUAACUGACGCUGAAGGUACGAAAAGCGUGGGGAAGCGAAACAGGAUUAGAUACCCUGGUAGUCCACGCCGUAAAACGAUGAGUGCUAAGUGUUAAAAGGGUUUCCGCCCUUUAGUGCUGCAGCAAAACGCAUUAAGCACUCCGCCUGGGGGAGUACGGUCCGCAAGAAUGAAAACUCAAAGGAAAUUGACGGGGGGCCCGCACAAGCGGUGGAAGCAUGGUGGUUUAAUUUCGAAAGCAACCGCG
rnacentral:rRNA from 1 species